GUUGUUGGGUAGGGGAGCGUUCUGUAAGCCUGUGAAGGUGUACUGUGAGGUAUGCUGGAGGUAUCAGAAGUGCGAAUGCUGACAUAAGUAACGAUAAAGCGGGUGAAAAGCCCGCUCGCCGGAAGACCAAGGGUUCCUGUCCAACGUUAAUCGGGGCAGGGUGAGUCGACCCCUAAGGCGAGGCCGAAAGGCGUAGUCGAUGGGAAACAGGUUAAUAUUCCUGUACUUGGUGUUACUGCGAAGGGGGGACGGAGAAGGCUAUGUUGGCCGGGCGACGGUUGUCCCGGUUUAAGCGUGUAGGCUGGUUUUCCAGGCAAAUCCGGAAAA
rnacentral:rRNA from 1 species